rnacentral:rRNA from 1 species
UACGUAGGCAGCAAGCGUUGUUCGGAGUUACUGGGCGUAAAGGGUGUGUAGGCGGUUCUUUUAAGUUUGGUGUGAAAUCUCCCGGCUCAACUGGGAGGGUGCGCCGAAUACUGAGGGACUUCGAGUGCGGGAGAGGAAAGUGGAAUUCCUGGUGUAGCGGUGAAAUGCGUAGAUAUCAGGAGGAACACCGGUGGUGUAGACGGCUUUCUGGACCGUAACUGACGCUGAGACACGAAAGCGUGGGUAGCAAACAGG